rnacentral:rRNA from 1 species
GAUGAACGCUGGCGGCGUGCCUAAUACAUGCAAGUCGAGCGAACGGACGAGAAGCUUGCUUUUCUGAUGUUAGCGGCGGACGGGUGAGUAACACGUGGAUAACCUACCUAUAAGACUGGGAUAACUUCGGGAAACCGGAGCUAAUACCGGAUAAUAUUUUGAACCGCAUGGUUCAAAAGUGAAAGACGGUCUUGCUGUCACUUAUAGAUGGAUCCGCGCUGCAUUAGCUAGUUGGUAAGGUAACGGCUUACCAAGGCAACGAUGCAUAGCCGACCUGAGAGGGGGGUUGGCCCCACCUGGACUGAGACACGGGCCCAACUCCUACCGGAGGGAGCCAGAGGGAAUCUUUCCCAAAGGGCGAAAGCCUGACGGAGCAACGCCGCGUGAGUGAUGAAGGUCUUCGGAUCGUAAAACUCUGUUAUUAGGGAAGAACAUAUGUGUAAGUAACUGUGCACAUCUUGACGGUACCUAAUCAGAAAGCCACGGCUAACUACGUG